GCACCUGCAGACUCGCAAGGGUAUUCACACAGGAAGCGUUUGUACAGCAGCUGCAUCAAAUGUGCAAGUCAUACUUCAAUAUAGGACGGACCUAGACUACCUGAAGACAGACUACAGAAACAUUUAAAAACAACAAUGCGUGUUGUACAAAGAAGAGUCAUCGCACUGUACCUUUUGCUAAGAAAUGUGCGUCGAAGGAUGCGACGAAGAAUAUGGGUUCAUCCGAUCAAUUUGCGCAGGA